GUGAAUCAUCGAAUCUUUGAACGCAAAUUGCACUCUCUGGUAUUCCGGAGAGUAUUCCUGUUGAGGGUCAGUUUAAAUCAAAAUCGGUGUGGUUGCUGCCUCUCGUGGUUACGCACCGGGUUUGUGUCGUCUUGCCUUCGGUUAAGUGACCUUUAAAUUUGCAUGAUUUUUUCGAACGUAUUUACAUGGUUUUAUGUACUUUUACGAUAUCGAAUACUAGUUGUGUUCGUCCUCAUGAUUAGCGCCUAUCGUUUUUC
rnacentral:misc_RNA from 1 species